AAAUACUUUUAAAGAAAAAUAGUUAUUUUUAUAAAAUAAAAAUUUUUGUUUCAUAAAGUUGGUCGGCUAAUAAAAAAUUUCAAGUUGCCGGCGACGUUUUUUGGUGGUGGUUGAUUCCGACGAAGCUCGUAGUCUUGUUUUGCUGCCCCCAAAAAGAUAAACACAUCUUUUUUUAAAAAGUUUUUAUUAUCGUUUUCUUCUUCAUAGUUCGUAGAUAUAAUUUUGUUUGCUGGGAUUGUAUGUUAUAGAUGGCCUUAAAGACCCUAGGACGUUGUGGUAUCGAUAUUCUAAUUAUUUUCAUGUCCAUGAUAUAAAAAUGAGCUAACAAUAGUUGUAUGUGUCUCUUUUUUUUUAACUUUAUUCUUUGAUUAUUUUGGAUAAAGUUUCAAUCUUUGCUUAAAAUAUGUAUUUAUGCUUUGUUUAAACUCAUUGUUGUUGGAUAUAUUUGUUUUUAGCAUUUAAAGUUAUUUUCUUUAUGUUGAAAAGAAUAGUUAAUGUUGAAUGUUUCGCUUUUUCACCUUAUUCUUUGAUUAUUUUAGAUAAAGUUUAGAUCUUUGCUUGAAAAACAUAAUCAUGUCUUGUUUAAACUCAUUUUUGUUGAAUAUGUUUAUUUUUAGCAUGUAAAAUUAUUUUUUUUAUGUUGAAAAGAAUAGUUAAUAAUGAUUGUUUUGCCUUUUGACCUUAUUCUUUGAUUAUUUUGGAUAAAGUUUAGAUCUUUACUUGAAAAGUCAUACCCAUAUCUUGUUUAAACUCANNNNNNNNNNNNNNNNNNNNGUGCUAAAAUUAUUUUUCAUCCACGAUGUUUAUUCCUCUUUUUCGCAUGUUUUCAAAUUUGUCAAAAUGGUGAGAAAGUUCAAAUUUUUAUGGCUAAAUAGAAUUAUUUAGAUAUUUUCAAGUCAUGGAUAGUAUGAUUGUGAAACAAUAUUUCAUUUUUAGAAAUGCUAAACUUUUUUCUAAUUUUCUUGCGCCCUUUGGAUAGUUAUAUGUGCUCUUUGUGAGUGUAAAGACUUGAUUCGUGUCUCUCAUUAAUUCAUAAUAUCAAAGGACAAUCAACGAUGUCUUAGAAAUAUAAACCAUAGGUCAUAACACGUUUUUUUUCAUAAAAUUUUGGUUGUAAUUUAGAUGUAUGAAUUUUCGUUAAUGUCGCCUUAAUUGAAAUUAAAGAUUCUCUUGCUUGAAAAGUUAACCUUUAUUUUCUUUUGUUAUAUGGAUUAGUAUCUAUGUUUGUUCAAUUUUAGAAGUCAUGAGUAUUUUUCUUGUUGCCUUAUCCCUUUACUUUCGCAAGCUUACGUUGUUUGUUUCUUGNNNNNNNNNNNNNNNNNNNNNNNNNNNNAACAUAAAUGAUGAGGCAUGUAAGUGGGGGUCUUUGCUUUGCAUUUAAUUUGUUGACUCUCAUUCUUGUGCAAGUGUGCUUAUCAUUGUCAUUCAAAAUUGGUUCUUGAUAUUUUCUUUUGUUUUGAAAUAUGUCACUUUUAUGCCUUGAACGUAUAUUAAUUUCUUUAUCUUUUCUUUGCAUGCAAAAAAAAAUGUCUCGAGUCCAAAUGGAUUCCUCUCCUCUUGCAUUUUGUAAUGGGCAAUGAGGUCUACCACUUCGAGUCAAGUUCGAAGUUUAAACCCGAGGUCCACUACAUGGCGUGCGGGUGCUAGAGGAUAGACGAAGAAGGAAAAUGGGUCAAAACUCAUUGAUGAGGUCAUUAAGAGACUUGAAAAGUCUCAAUUUUUUUUAUUAUCUUCUUUUUAUUUAUUCAUUUAGUCAUUUAUUUAUUCAUUCAUUUCGGCCUCGAAGCCAAAGUUGUGUUUAAUAUAGGUGAAGCAAGACUCGAGCCAGAGGCUCGAAAAUUAGUUUAGGACAGGUAAAAUGGGUCGGAAGCCCAACUAGACUAGGACAGUUCUCGUUGAUUUGGGCUCAAUGACCUAAAUCAUUUACUUUCUCCUCCCUUCCCCUUUUAUGUGUUUAUUUAUUUAUUAGUUUUGUUUAGACUUAAUUAAAAUCCCUACUAAAUCGCCUAAAUCUAUUUUACACAAGUCUUUUAAAAAAAAAAAAAAUCACAUCACUAUUUUCACCAAAUCACUAUUUUAACAAAUUAAUCUUUUCAGAAGUUAAUCAAAAAAUGUUUUCAAACAGUCCGGAUAACUGCAAGUUAGUGAAUGUUUUAGGUGCCUAACACCUUCCUAAAACAUUAAUAGGAAUCGCUUAUCUAGAAUCUCCAACUUAAAACGAUUUUUCUGUUUUGAAUCAUUUGAAGUAACUCUCUAAAGGUUUCUUAAUUCCUUUCCAAAAUUAAGUGGCGACUCUUCUCAAAAAGUCAAAAUUUCUCAUCAAAACAAAAAUGGCGACUCUGCUGGGGAUUUGUAACUAGAUUCUAACCAAAUGUUUGAUUUCGUCUUUUGAUUAACUGUUUAUGUAUUUAUAUGUUUCGAUUCUGUAAAGUUUAACUAUCGCAUUUCAUGGCAUAUUCCUGCAUUAUUUAAACUGUUUUGGGGUUUCAUGGAUGUCCCGGCCCUGUUGUUCAAUUCCAAAAUGUGUUGGAAAUACGAACGGCUUAUUAGCAUGUGAGUCAUUUGAUGGCUGUUCGUAUUUUCUAACUCAAGUUGUCCACUUGAGAACCAAUGUUCCAACCUACUCUAGACACCUAGGAUAGAAAAAAAUCAAAACCCUAUUUUAGGCAUGAACCUAGGACGACCCAAUACCCUAGCGAGGUAUUGGGCCCAUUAGAAAAUCUGCCCUGCAUCUAUUGACCCCAAGUCAAUUAUAGACGAACCAUAUUUAUGCGUUGAAGAAAAUGUAUGCCUGGUUAAUUCAAUCCAUUAUCCUUUGGGGGUCGGGAAAAGGCUAGAUUUGCUUACUUUUGUAAGAAGAAUUGAAGCAAGUUAAGCAAGAAACUGAUCAAUUUGGUAGGUUGUAUUUAAGACACAGUUUGAACUCAACGGAUGUCACCAAUAUAAGAAAUGGAUGAAGCUAAGAAGGGGAAUUCUGAUAGAAAAAGCACUCAGGAAUUAGUAUUUUCUUAUCCCCUGUGUGGGAGCAUAUCUUCUUUUAUGUUAUUUCCCUUUUCCUAAAGAUUGUAUUCCUCUUUCGUUAUCUUUUGUAGGCAUUUAUGCCCUUUUAGUGUCUAUAAAAGUUGGGGGAUAAUGGAUUGACCUUAAGCAAGCAUAUAUUUUUUCUUCAAAAAUCGUUAGGCCCAAACCCUUGACUCAAAAGGGUCACCCAAUUAGGAUGCACGUUUAUUACAAUAUGCUUGUGUAAUAUAAUUAUUUAUGUGCUUAUACGUGUUAUGCUGAUUCGAAUCAAAGGCGAACUAAUCCAAUCCCAUUUUCCAUAGAACAUCUCUAAGUAGAAAUAUACCCCACAAUACAAAAGUCCGACUAAAAGUACUCCAAGUCUCCCAAGUUUCUCAGAAAAGUCCAUAGUCAUUCUUAAAACUUCCAAAAUGAUCGCUACCAUUUUAGGAAAGUUGACUUUAGAAUCAAAAAAAGUUGUUAUAGUUUUGAACUACGUAGGGCCUGAUUUCUCCUCCGUGAGAUACGUAGGCAGUCUUUCGUCCCGGACCAUAUCUCCAAAAGCUCUAUUUCCCUCCACUUUCUUGAAGGAAGAAGAAGAGUUGAACCUUCCUGACAAAUUCCACCUAUCCAUAUCAUUGAGCAAAAUCCUGUUCAUUGAAAUCCUCGAGUCAUCAUUAUUUCAUGGAUCAAUUCGCAUGAGAUGAGAAACAACUCUGUGUGUUUACUUCCUACCUUAUCAUCUUGGUUUACUUAUUACUAAUGGAAUCUAACACAUCAGUGUUUGAGUUGUUUUUACUUUGCAGGUAAUAGAAACUACUCUGUGUUGGCACAAAAUAACCCUACUUCACCAGAUCCAAAUGAAUAAGAGAUCCACUUCUUGACUAUAGUUUUGUUACAGGAAAAGAAAAAUGACUAGUAGUAAAACUGGACUCUACCAAUCAUUUUUCAACCUUGUAAGCGAUAGUCUCGAGGAUGGAAUAAGGGAAAAUAUGAGGAAAGAAUUUUCCAAGACAAUCGGAAUCAUGGAAGAUUAAUUGGAGGAAACAUUAUUGAAUUGGACCUCCACUCCACUCAUGACUCAUCACCCAUCGUAUAACAGUAACUUAAAACCUGCCAUUGUCAUGUCAUGUCAAGAAUAAAAAUAAUGGUAGCCCUAGAACAGUCAACAAAAGAGUCAAAGAGUUCGAGAAUCAAAGAAGCCUAAUCUAGAGGAAACCGAGGUGGUUAACUAGGAAGGCGAUGACUCCAUUGGACAUUUGAUCCUUUGUUCUAUCAAGACAAAUGCAACACAAACGUCAUGUCAUCCAUAGAAGUACUUAUUUAUGUCCUAGUAAGAUGGGUAAGAGUAUUUUUAGGGCCAUUAUGAGUUUAUGUACGAACAACAUUUGACCUGAAUUCCCAAAAAGGGAUACUUAGGCGGCCUAUGUCGGCUUCUGUCAACCCCUUAGGAAAAUUUAUCAUUUCCUUUUAUGUACAAAUUACGUUUGACCUGAAUUCCCAAAAAGGGAUACGCAGGCGGCCUAUGUCGGCUUUGGUCAACCCUUUAGGAUACUUUAUCCUUUCCUUUUAUGUAUAAACUACGUGAUGACUUGAAUUCCCAACAAAAGGGAUACGUAGGCGGCCUAUGUCGGCUUCGAUCAACCCAUUAGAUUUUUUUAUAUAUUCUUAGCGUAGUCUUGAACUAUGUUUGACCUGAUUCCUUCUUCAACGGGAUACGUAUGCACCCCAACGGCUCGGUCAUAUAAUCCCAGGAAAUGGAAAUUGGGGCAAAAUUUUUGAGAAGGAAUCUCAAAAAUUCACAAGGGAAGAUCAACAUCCAACAAGGAGAACGAAGACCAACAAAGACUUUGGAUCUUCUCGAGAUGAUAUUAUCUCAGACUACUUUAAACGGGGGCAGAAAUUUUGAUGAGGUCCUCAAAAUUUCCACUAGUAUAUUGAAAUAUAUUUCAAAUUCUCCAGCACUAGAGGUCGAAGUUGAGAUUUGAGAAUCACCACCUGUGAUAAAGUCUAGGAAAACUGAAUCUCUGUCUUUGAUAAAACUUCUUGUAGAGAGCCUCGACAAUGUUGAAUCCCUAGCAAUCCUCCAUCAAACAUUGGAAAUUGUCAGAAUUAAGAGAAAGAUAGUCGUUGAGCUAGCACAUGACAUGACUGGUAGAGAUUUUCUAAAGUUUUGCUGGAGUUUUCAAAACUAUUUUCUAAAAAUUAAGACGACUUUAAAACAUCUAUAUAAAUCUUUUACUUAAUGAUUGUCUAGGCAUCAAUUAAGAUGGGGAGUCAAGGGUGAAAGUCCCAAUAUAACGAAGUACCCAAAAGAUGGCGUAGAGAAAAUGGAGAAUCGAAGAAAGUCAACAUGGAGUAGUUUCACUCAAACUAAUCAUUUUUCUGUGGAUCGGGGACCAAUACAAAAAAAUGAGAGUCUCUUUCAAAAAUCUCCGAGCAAAUUGGGAGCCACACCAGAGCACUAAUGCUCAAGAACAAAAUUUUUGGGUAGCCCUAAAAAUGGGUUUAAUACCCAUUUAUUGAGGACCUUUUGAAUUGUCCAUCUCAUUUCUUGAGAUCAUGGAGGACAAACAAAAUUGUCUUGUUUUUUUUACAAAUAUUGUAUUUAGAAUUUUUCUAAAAUAUAUAGUCGCUAGCAAAAGCAACUUUAUGUCUACUAAUCAUCUACCUUGAGUACAGGUACAUUUAGAAAGCAAGACGCAGACAAACAAUCUCAGGUGCAACUAUUUUUAAAUUGCCAAGAGGGCCAUUCAUAUCAUUGCCAAGAGGGUCAUUUCAUAGCAUUGCCGAGAGGGCCAUUUCAUAUCAUCGCCGAGAGGGCCAUUUCAUAUCAUUGCUGAGAGGGCCAUUCAUAUCAUUACCAAGAGGUUCAUUCGUAUUAUUGCCAAGAGGGACAUUUUAUAGCAUUGCCAAGAAGGCCAUUCAUAUCAUCACCGAGAGGGCCAUUGCAUAUUAUUGCCAAGAGGGCCAUUCACAUUAUUGCCAAGAGGGUCAUUCAUAUCAUUGCCAAGAAGGCCAUUUCAUAGCAUUUCUAAGAGGGCCAUUCAAAUCAUCGCCGAGAGGGCCAUUGCAUAUUAUUAUCAAGAGGGUCAUUCAAUAUCUGUUGACACGCAAGACAUAAACACUGGCGUCGAGGAUAUCAUCAGUAUUUUAUAUCUAUUGACAUGCAAGACAUAAACACUGGCAUCGAGGAUAUCAUCACCAUUCAAUAUCUAUUGAUACUCAAGACAUAAACGCUGGCGUCGAGGAUAUCAUUAACAUUCAUUAUCUGUUGACAUGCAAGACAUAAACGUUGGCAUCAAGGAUAUCAUCAACAUUUCAUAUCUGUUGACAAGCAAGACAUAAACACUAGCGAUGAGGAUAUCAUCAACAUUUCAUAUCUGUUGACACUCAAGACAUAAAUGUUAGGGUCGAGAAUAUCAUCAGCAUUUAAUAUCUAUUGACACGCUAGACACAAACGUUGGUGUCGAGGAUAUCUCAUCAUUUUAUGAAUCAGCAUCUGAAUGCAUCAAGAGCACACGAUUUUAAGGAAUUCCUUUAAGUCGGUGUCUAAAGACGGAUGAUUUAUGAGAUUUCCUAGAAAUUGACAAUUUGAGGGUCAUCUAUAAGUCAUAUUAUUUGAAAUAGGAUAGUGUUCAAGAUCACCUAUGAGUUGAUAGCCUGUAGGUCAUCCGUAAGCAACAACAACAUCCUAACCAAAUAGUGUGGAAGAUCGCCCAAAAAUUAAUAGUUUGGAGGUUAUCCAUAAGUCGCAACUAAAUCCUUACCGGAGAAUAUGUGAGAUUAUCAAAUUAAUACGUCCAAGGGUUAUCUAUAAGCUGCAUCAUAUCCAAGAUCGAUUAUGUGCAGGAUUACCCAAGGACUACCAAUUUGAGUAAUAUCUAUAAGUCAUAUUGUAUCCAAGGUCGGAUGAUGCGCAGGAACACCUAAAAGCUAGCGAUUUGAAGGAUAUAUGUAAGCCAUCUCUUAUCCAAGGUUGGAUAAUGUGCAGGAUUAUCUAAAAGCUAGCAAUUCAAAGGAUAUCUGUAAGUCGCCUCGUAUCCGACAUCAAAUAAUGUGCAAGAUUAUCCAAGAUUGACAAUUUGAGGAAAAUCUAUAAGUUAUAUCGGUACAAAAGAUGUGCAGGACUUACCUGAGAUCAUAUGCAAAAAAUUACUAUCAAUAACCGGAGAUGUUAUCAUGCCACAUACGACAAGCACUAUAGGUGACUCAAAAGGGUUGCUACAUCAGCGCAAGAUUAAGCGGUUGCAGGGACCGUUCUGCAUAAAGUGUCGUUGAUGUCCAAGAGAGACACCCACUUUGAAGACAUAUUCAACCGAUAAAUAAGAUAAUUAUGCAACGACCAAGAGAGUUGUUGUGCCUAUUAUUGCAAGUUAUUUCCUUCUAAAUAGGUGCAUGAAAGGGAUGACUUUGCUUUUCAGGAAAUAACUCACACGGGGAUAUGGUAAAGACUAUAUACCUCUUUCGUGAAUUAUGUUUAGCACUAACACUUUUUGUUUGAAACACUGUCGAGAGCAUCCGAGAGAGUGAAAAUCUCAAAUCAAAACCACAGGGGCGGACAACUCCAGAUAGGACGCAGUACAACGUGGAACUCUUUCUUACCAGCAAAACGGAACAUAGUCUAAAGAGGGAUGUCAAACUCUUUGGAUGAGAGCUAAAGGAUGAUCACCACCACCAUCCAACCACACCCCUAUUAGAAGGCAUGUGGGUAGUUUGAGAUAUUUGGGUUUCAGCUUCACCUUUGGUAUAUCUCUAAACUCAUACCGAGGGUAAACUUUUCUUUCUUUCAAUUCGGGUGGCAACACACUUAGAGUUUUGGAAUUAUGUCCAAGUAAGUUCUUACCUAUGGAUGUGAAGGAUCCCACAUUCAUGGUUAAGAGUUUACAAGCUUCUUUUCCGCAACUCGAUCAACUUGUCACCCAUUUCGAGCCAAAGAUAGUCUAAAAUAAAAGACUAUAUUUUCUAUCGAUUGAGUCAAACUAUAGGCAGUCUGAUUCCCUGAGUCUCAGGGAUAUUUAGGCUCAGCUCUAUGUAGAAAACUCAAUUACAUUCCAACCUCCUCCCCAAAUCCCUCCAUUUCCUAGCUUUUCAGUCGACAAAAACUCUAAAAAAACUAGGAUAGCUGGUGAUUUUUUUUUGAAAAUCGUGCCUUAAAUCAAGUUUUAUGAACUACAAGUAGCCUGAAUUCUCUUGUAACCUGAGAUAUGUAGGAAACCCCACUUGGGUUCGGCCAUGACUCUAUGAGACUCAUGCAAAAGCCAACCUCUUUCAGUUUUGAAUUGUGGUCGGACAAAAAUUAGGAACGUCAACCUCCCUUUGCCCAAGGUUACUUGCAUUCACCCUACCCAAAAGGAAGGGGCAGUUGUUGACACCUAAUUUUUGCCCUCCACAACUAAAUUUAAUCAUGAGUUUCUUUGAUAAUAAAAUUAAAAUAUUUAUUUCAUCCGAAUAAAAAUUUAUGAAAUAUAUUUGUACGUAAUUUUGUCAUUUUAAGUAGUGAUUAUAAUUUAUUGUAUUCAAUUAUAUGAUAUUUUAUAAUUUUGUUAGUUAAAUAUUUAUUUUAUAAAAUAUUGGAUUUUAAUCAAGGCUUAGAGAUUCAAAUGAUUAAAGUUUUGAUUUAAAUAUAAUUUACUCUCAAAAAAUAACAAUUAUAUGAUAUUUUAUAAUUUUGUUACUUAAAUAUUUAUUUUAUAAAAUAUUGGAUUUUAAUCAAGGCUUAGAGAUUCAAAUGAUUAAAGUUUUGAUUUAAAUAUAAUUUACUCUCAAAAAAUAAUUUAUUAGGAUAAAUAUGUGUUUGAUUUUAUAAAAUCAUGAAGCCCGGGGUUAAAGGAAGCAUUAAUUCGCAUCGAAUUUCAAUUUAAUUUAGUCAAUCUAUUAGAUUUGGCCAUAAUUGAAAUCAAAAUGGUCAUAAUUGUAAUGCAAUCCGUCAAUUAAUUUCUAAUUUGGUCAAAAUUAAUAAAUAUGGCUAAAUUUUAAAUCCCAAUUGGGGUUAUAUUUUAAAUAACCCCAAAAUUCUCAAAAACUCUCAUAACUUCUACCUAAUUCCACAAAAAAAUAAUUUCAAAUAGUACUACAUUGUACUAUUUCCCCCCAACAUUGUCUUUUCCCAAUUUUAAAAUUCAAAAGUUGUACUACAUUGUACAAUUUCCCCCCACAUUAUCUUCCACCUCACCUUAUCUUCAAUUUUAAAAUUUCAAAAACACCCUUAAUUGCUUUUUCUCUCACAUUGGUGGAUGACAAGAAACAAAUCUUCAUCCUUUCCUAUAAAUACUUUUCUCCCACAUUGGUGGAAGAGAGGAAAAAAAAUCUCAUUUUCUCCUAUAAAUAUUACCACUACUUUGGUAAAAAAAAAGGGGGGGAAAGGGAAAACAAAAAGGCUAGAAAGGUGAAAAAAUACUUUUUGAGCAAAAUAGUUAUUUUUAUUAAGUAAAAAUUUUUGUUUCAUAGAGUUGGUCGGCUAAUAAAAAAAUUCAACUUGCCGGCAACGUUUUUUUGGUGGUGGUUGAUUCCGACGAAGCUCGUAGUCUCGUUUUGCUGCCCCCAAAAAGGUAAACACAUCUUUAUUUUUUAGUUUUUAUUAUCGUUUUCUUCUUCAUCUUUUUUUUUUCAUAGUUCAUAGAUAUAAUUUUGUUUGCUGGGAUUGUAUGUUGUAAAUGGCCUUNNNNNNNNNNNNNNNNNNNNNNNNNNNNNNNNNNNNNNNNNNNNNNNNNNNNNNNNNNNNNNNNNNNNNNNNNNNNNNNNNNNNNNNNNNNNNNNNNNNNNNNNNNNNNNNNNNNNNNNNNNNNNNNNNNNNNNNNNNNNNNNNNNNNNNNNUUUUUAGCAUGUAAAGUUAUUUUCUUUAUGUUGAAAAGAAUAGUUAAUAUUGAUUUUUUUACCUUUUGACCUUAUUCUUUGAUUAUUUUGGAUAAAGUUUAGAUCUUUCCUUGAAAAGUCAUACUCAUGUCUUGUUUAAACUCAUUCUUGCUAGAUAUGUUUGUUUUUAGC
rnacentral:lncRNA from 1 species